UACGUAGGGGGCGAGCGUUGUCCGGAUUUAUUGGGCGUAAAGAGCGUGUAGGCGGCCAGGUAGGUCUGCUGUGAAAACUCGAGGCUCAACCUCGAGACGUCGGCGGAAACCAUCUGGCUAGAGUCCGGAAGAGGAGAGUGGAAUUCCAGGUGUAGCGGUGAAAUGCGCAGAUAUCAGGAAGAACACCCGUGGCGAAGGCGGCUCUCUGGGACGGUACUGACGCUGAGACGCGAAAGCGUGGGGAGCGAACAGG
rnacentral:rRNA from 1 species